rnacentral:misc_RNA from 1 species
GAUGAAGAACGCAGCGAAAUGCGAUACUUGGUGUGAAUUGCAGAAUCCCGUGAACCAUCGAGUCUUUGAACGCAAGUUGCGCCCGAAGCCAUUAGGCCGAGGGCACGCCUGCCUGGGUGUCACACGUCGUUGCCCCCCCAUCUACUCCUUCGGGAUUGCGGGGGGCGGGUGAUGGCCUCCCGUGCGCCUCGUCGCGCGGUUGGCAUAAAUGCCAAGUCCUCGGCGACGCACGCCACGACAAUCGGUGGUUGCGAAACCUCGGUUGCCCGUCGUGUGCGGUCGUCGCGCAUCGAGGGCUCGAAAAAAUUGCCGGGCUCCGGCUCGGCUUUCAACGCGACCCCAGGUCAGGCGGGGUUACCCGCUGAAUUUAAGCAUAUCAAUAAGCGGAGG